rnacentral:rRNA from 1 species
GACGAACGCUGGCGGCACGCCUAACACAUGCAAGUCGAACGCCCCUUUCGGGGGGAGUGGCGGACGGGUGAGUAACGCGUGGGAACCUGCCCCGUGGUGGGGGACAACCCAGGGAAACCUGGGCUGAUACCGCAUAAGCCCAGUGGCUGUAGUGGCCAUUGGGGAAAGAUUUAUCGCCACGGGAUGGGGCCCCGCGUCGGAUUAGGUAGUUGGUGGGGUAACGGCCCACCAAGCCUGCGAUCCGUAGCUGGUCUGAGAGGACGAUCAGCCACACUGGGACUGAGACACGGCCCAGACUCCUACGGGAGGCAGCAGUGGGGAAUCUUGGACAAUGGGGGAAACCCUGAUCCAGCGAUGCCGCGUGAGCGAAGAAGGCCUUAGGGUUGUAAAGCUCUUUCGCCCGCGACGAUAAUGACGGUAGCGGGAGAAGAA